AAGGAUCAUUACAGAGUUCAUGCCCUCACGGGUAGAUCUCCCACCCUUGAAUAUUAUACCUUAGUUGCUUUGGCAGGCCGUGGAAACACCACGGGCUUUGGCUUGUGCGUGCCUGCCAGAGGAAACAAACUCUGUUUUUAGUGAUGUCUGAGUACUAUAUAAUAGUUAAAACUUUCAACAACGGAUCUCUUGGUUCUGGCAUCGAUGAAGAACGCAGCGAAAUGCGAUAAGUAAUGUGAAUUGCAGAAUUCAGUGAAUCAUCGAAUCUUUGAACGCACAUUGCGCCCUGUGGUAUUCCGCAGGGCAUGCCUGUUCGAGCGUCAUUUCAACCCAUCAAGCUUACGCUUGGUAUUGGGGCCUGCGGUUUCGCAGCCUCUAAACUCAGUGGCGGUGCAACUGAGCUCUGAGCGUAGUAAUUUUUCUCGCUAUAGGGUCUCGGUUGUGACUUGCCAGCAACCCCCAAUUUUUAUCAGGUUGACCUCGGAUCAGGUAGGGAUACCCGCUGAACUUAA
rnacentral:rRNA from 1 species